AACAUGGUAUCAAUAAGCAACAAUGAACAAGUGUCAAUAUGAAGCACCUUAACCCAAACGAAGUCGCCAAACAGGAAAGAAAAAAAAAAAAAAAAAAACCAUGUGUGUAAUCAAGAUCCUGUUUAGUCUGACAAUUCAAAAGAAGAAGGAAACCCUUCAUACAGCUUGACAUUGUACAUGGUAAUAAUUUCCUAACUCAAGCAAAUGACAAAUUUAUAUGUAAAACUAAAAUUAAUCAAAUACAUAAAAUGUGGCUGGAACAUGCUCUUUGCUAAAACCACAUGCUAACUAAGAUCCGGAUGACGCAACAAGGGGAGGCAAAUCUAGUACAUGGCGUUAUCAAUUAGGUACAAUGAGAGUUGCCUCCCAUUGUACGCUAACUUCUUAUAUUGUGAUGUUUAAGUCGUAUUUGCGUUGUGAUAGAUAUGGGUUACGUUAAUAUAGACACACUUUUAACACAAGGUUACUCAUAGUGUGCAAGAAUAUUUGUUAUCCCAAAUUUUUAUUAUUUUCUUUUUAAUUUGUCUUCAUAAUAUUUUAUUAUUUUCUUGUUGUUGUUGUACAUGUUUAUUUUACUUAAUUACAUUGUACAGUAUCGAUUCCAAUAACGAUCCGACGCCAACGUCAGAAUGAUUGUUGACUACUAUCAUAAUCUGUACAAUGACAUACAUGAUUAUAAUACAUAAUACUUCAAUAAUUACUUUUUUUUAUCACAUACAUCAUAUUGCUCCGUCUAUAGGACAAACUUUUUAAAAUUCUAAUCUAGUUGGUACGCUAAUUAAACUUAUGGUUUUGAUGUGAUAAGAAUUCAUUGAUUUAUUCAAAUUGGUAUCAAUAUCACAUUACUCAUUAAGAUGUUACUUAAAGUAAGUAAGUAAAUUGUUUAAAACAUGUAGUGACAUGUGUAAAUCAGCAUAAAUAUAUAAAUUUGUACAAAAUAUAUAAUUACAUAUAUAAUACACCCGGCCCAAUAGACCAAAGUAUAUAAACACUUCAAGUGUUUGCAAAUUAUUUUUAUUGUUUUUCAUCUAGGUAGACGUGAAAUAUGUUUGACUGCCAAACCAAAC
rnacentral:lncRNA from 1 species